rnacentral:rRNA from 1 species
AUAGCUCACUAGUCGAGAGGUCCUGCGCCGAAAAUGUCCGGGGCUGAAACACACUACCGAAGCUUGGGAAUUGACGAAUGUUAAUUGGUAGAGGAGCAUUCUUAACGGGGCGAAGCUGUACCGGAAGGAGCAGUGGACUGUUAAGAAGAGAGAAUGCCGGAAUGAGUAGCGAGAGGAAGGUGAGAAUCCUUCCGGCCGAAUAUCUAAGGUUUCCAGAGUAAAGCUGAUCUGCUCUGGGUAAGUCGGGGCCUAAGGCGAGGCUGAGAGGCGUAGUCGAUGGACAACAGGUUGAAAUUCCUGUACCAUGUAUCAUCAGAACUGUGGGGACACAGAAGGACAACACAUCCCGGGAAUGGGAAUACCGGGGCAAGCGAGGUAGGAGUACGGUUGGCAAAUCCGCCGUGCAAUCCGAAGACGUGACGCGCAGCGAACUAAAGUAGCGAAGUGUGUGAUUCCGGCUGUCAAGAAAAGCCGCUAUUGUGUGAUACAUGCCCGUACCGUAAACCGACACAGGUAGAUGAGGAGAGAAUCCUAAGGCCGGCGGGAGAAGCAUUGUUAAGGAACUCGGCAAAAUGACCCCGUAACUUCGGGAGAAGGGGUGCCACAGAGAUGUGGCCGCAGAGAAUAGGCUCAAGCAACUGUUUAGCAAAAACACAGGUCUAUGCAAAACCGAAAGGUGAGGUAUAUGGGCUGACGCCUGCCCGGUGCUGGAAGGUUAAGGGGAGAGGUUAGCGCAAGCGAAGCUUUGAACUUAAGCCCCAGUAAACGGCGGCCGUAACUAUAACGGUCCUAAGGUAGCGAAAUUCCUUGUCGGGUAAGUUCCGACCCGCACGAAAGGCGUAAUGAUUUGGGCACUGUCUCAACAAUGCACCCGGUGAAAUUGAAAUACCAGUGAAGAUGCUGGUUACCUGCGCCAGGACGGAAAGACCCCAUGGAGCUUUACUCUAGCUUGAUACUGGGAUUCGAUAUUGCAUGUACAGGAUAGGUGGGAGACUAGGAAGUGGUGACGCCAGUUGCCAUGGAGUCAAUGUUGGGAUACCACCCUUGCAGUAUUGGGUUUCUAACCAGCAGCCGUGAUCCGGCUGGGGGACAAUGUCAGGUGGGGAGUUUGACUGGGGCGGUCGCCUCCGAAAGGGUAUCGGAGGCGCUCAAAGGUUCCCUCAGAAUGGUUGGAAACCAUUCGAAGAGUGCAAAGGCAGAAGGGAGCUUGACUGCGACACCGACGGGUGGAGCAGGUACGAAAGUAGGACUUAGUGAUCCGGUGGUAUAAAGUGGGAUUGCCAUCGCUCAACGGAUAAAAGCUACCCUGGGGAUAACAGGCUUAUCACUCCCAAGAGUUCACAUCGACGGAGUGGUUUGGCACCUCGAUGUCGGCUCAUCGCAUCCUGGGGCUGUAGUAGGUCCCAAGGGUUGGGCUGUUCGCCCAUUAAAGCGGUACGCGAGCUGGGUUCAGAACGUCGUGAGACAGUUCGGUCCCUAUCCGGCGUGGGCGUAGGAUAUUUGAGAGGAGCUGCCCUUAGUACGAGAGGACCGGGGUGGACUGGCCGCUGGUGUAUCUGUUGUAUUACCAAAUGCAUAGCAGAGUAGCCAAGCCGGGACGGGAUAAACGCUGAAGGCAUCUAAGCGUGAAGCCCCCCUCAAGAUGAGAUAUCCCAUAACGUCAAGUUAGUAAGACCCCUUGAAGACGACGAGGUAGAUAGGGCAGAGGUGGAAGUGUGGCAACACAUGGAGCUGACUGUUACUAAUAGGUCGAGGGCAUAACCAA